UGCUCCUCUGUGAUUUGAUUCCACACUGACAAGGAAUACAGACAUCCCUGAGAGGGCCUGAUGGCUCUUACCUGGACAAGACCCACAUCGGAAAGCACAGGUGCCGGCAGAAGGUGUUUCUCUAGUUCAAUUCACCUCAGUGCCUGGGAGUGCAAAGGAGAGGGAUGUCUGCAGUCUGCUUUCCCCUCAAGAAUCAAAGACUAGUGCCACCGCAGGGGUCACAGGAGACUCAGGCAGAAGAAAGCCCUGAAUAACAGCCGACAGCAUGUAUCGUGCCUGAUCCACAUCGAGAGAGCAAUGAUUUGAGCGUGUCCAUCCCAUGGGGACUGCUUGCUUUCUGAGGAGACGGCACUGCGGGCUGUGUGAGAGGACAAAAGCUGCCACAUGUGGAAAUAUUGUGGUGAAUGUCCUGGCCUGAGACUUUUUCAGUAAGCAGACUUUGGGGGAAGAAAUAGAACUUCAUUUGCGAAUAUAAAUAUCUUACAAAAUC